AUGAACGCUAGCGACAGGCUUAACACAUGCAAGUCGAGGGGUAACAGGGUAGCAAUACCGCUGACGACCGGCGCACGGGUGAGUAACGCGUAUGCAACCUGCCUAUAACUGGGGAAUAGCUCCCUGAAAGGGGAAUUAACACCGCAUAACACUAUUGAUUCGCAUGGAUUAGUAGUUAAAUGUAGCGAUACAGGUUAUAGAUGGGCAUGCGUGACAUUAGCUAGUUGGUGAGGUAACGGCUCACCAAGGCUACGAUGUCUAGGGGUUCUGAGAGGAAGGUCCCCCACACUGGUACUGAGACACGGACCAGACUCCUACGGGAGGCAGCAGUGAGGAAUAUUGGUCAAUGGGCGCAAGCCUGAACCAGCCAUGUCGCGUGCAGGAAGACUGCCCUAUGGGUUGUAAACUGCUUUUAUAGUAGAAGAAACACAUCUACGUGUAGAUGUCUGCCAGUAUACUAUGAAUAAGCAUCGGCUAACUCCGUGCCAGCCGCUGC
rnacentral:rRNA from 1 species